CCACCGCGGUUAGACGAGAGGCCCUAGUUGAUAUUUUAACGGCGUAAAGGGUGGUUAAGGGUAAAUAAAAAUAAAGCCAAAUGGCCCCUCGGCCGUCAUACGCUUCUAGGUGUCCGAAGCCCUAACACGAAAGUAGCUUUAAUAAAUUAGCCUGAACCCACGAAAGCUGAGAAACAAACUGGGAUUAGAUACCCCACUAUGCUCAGCCGUAAACUUAGACAUCCAACUACAAUUAGAUGUCCGCCAGGGUACUACGAGCAUUAGCUUAAAACCCAAAGGACUUGACGGUGUCUCAGAUCCCCCUAGAGGAGCCUGUUCUAGAACCGAUAACCCCCGUUUAACCUCACCACUCCUAGCCAUCCCAGCCUAUAUACCGCCGUCGUCAGCUUACCCUGUGAAGGGUACAAAAGUAAGCAAAAUGGGCACAGCCCAGAACGUCAGGUCGAGGUGUAGCGCAUGAAGUGGAAAGAAAUGGGCUACAUUUUCUAACACAGAAUAUUACGAACAUGUACCAUGAAAUAGUGCUUGAAGGAGGAUUUAGUAGUAAAGGGGAAAUAGAGUGUCCCUUUGAACCCGGCUCUGAGACGCGUACACACCGCCCGUCACUCUCCCCUGUCAAAACGCAUUAAAAAUACUUAAUACAAAAGCACUGACAAGGGGAGGCAAGUCGUAACACG
rnacentral:rRNA from 1 species